GAGCCAGUAGGUUGGUCGUGCCACCGGUACGUACUGGUCUCACUGAUUCCUCCUUCCUGAAGAACCGUAAUGCCAUUAAUUUGGUGUCGCGGGGAAACAGGACUGUUACUUUGAAAAAAUUAGAGUGUUUAAAGCAAGCUAACGCUUGAAUACAUUAGCAUGGAAUAAUGAAAUAGGACGAUCGAUCCUAUUUUGUUGGUUUCUAGGAUUGACGUA
rnacentral:rRNA from 1 species